NNNNNNNNNNNNNNNNNNNNNNNNNNNNNNNNNNNNNNNNNNNNNNNNNNNNNNNNNNNNGGCCGCGGCCGCGGCCGCAAACGCUGCAAGGAGGAAGUCCGGUCAAGGGCGGGGGGAGAAGGGGGGCGCUGGGUCAGCUCAGAGCCCGGCAGUACCGGGGCGGGGUUCCGAAACCACCGCCUUUCCACCCCCGCGCCGCGGGCCCCCGGGUGUGAGCGCUUCCGACCCCGACUUCGGAAUAAGCUCGCUACUCGCUCCCGGUGCGCUUUUAUUCCGCGACUCCUCCAGCCCCGCCCCCCUUUCCUCCCGAGCUUUAGGUUGGCCCGCCUUACCUAGCUCGCGAUCCUCCCUUUCUCCUCUCCGGCCGUCAGAGCUUCUCCUUCCUCGCUCUCCCCUCUCGGGGCGAAACUCAGCCCACACUGUUCCCUAGCUCUGAACAGCGCCUCGCCCUCCAUUUCCUCGCCGGUGCCCGGACGCUGCCUCCGCUGGGUCUGGCCGGCGCACGUGCGCUCGCUCCGAGACCCGGACGGCCGCGCCGCGGCGGCCACGGGCGCGAGCACGUUCAGGCCGCCUGGGACCUUCCUCCCGGGUGCCCGCCCUCUCCGCGCUCCGCCGGCAGCACGUGUUCGCUGGGCUCCGGACCUGGAUCUGCUGGGAUUAUUUACGCACGGUGGUAGUACUCCAGCUCUCCACUCCCAGCGCCGCCGCGCUUAAAGAGGCCGGGGACUUAACGAUCAGCCUCGCUAGGCUGGGUCAGUCACUCAUUCACCUGAAAACCAGAAAAUGCUCUUGGAGGAUCACGGGUCCAGAGGUCUCUCUGCUUUGGAUUUUGUCCCUGGAGAGUGGUCACACCUGGUCUGGCUGGGACCCCCAGAAGACCCCUGUGUUGCACCCCUGCGACCUGGUCACAGUUUCCUUCUUUCUCUUCAUUUCUUUGUUUCUUUCACCUUAUUUUUCUCCCUGGAUUCACCUGCUCUGAUUGCUCUAAGCCUCUGUGCUAUCAUCUUUUCCAAGUCUAGAACCAAGACUCAUGCAGCCAUGAAGGACUGUGAUAUAAAUACAGGAGUAUUUAAAAUGAGCCCAGGCGGGGUGCCUGGGUGGCUCAGUGGGUUAAGCCUCUGCCUUCAGCUCGGGUUGUGGUCUCAGGAUCCUAGGAUCAGCCCCAUCAGGCUCUGCUCAGCGGGGAGCCUGCUUCCCCUUCUCUCUCUGCCUACUUGUGAUCUCUGUCUGUCAAAUAAAUAAAUAAAGUCUUUAAAAAUAAAAAAA
rnacentral:lncRNA from 1 species